rnacentral:rRNA from 1 species
ACCAAGGGUUCCUGUCCAACGUUAAUCGGGGCAGGGUAAGUCGACCCCUAAGGCGAGGCCGAAAGGCGUAGUCGAUGGGAAACGGGUUAAUAUUCCCGUACUUCUUACAAUUGCGAUGGGGGGACGGAGAAGGCUAGGUGGGCCUGGCGACGGUUGUCCAGGUUCAAGUACGUAGGCGGAAGAAUUAGGUAAAUCCGGUUCUUCUUAACGCUGAGAUACGAUGUCGAGCUACUACGGUAGUGAAGUCAUUGAUGCCAUGCUUCCAGGAAAAGCCUCUAAGCUUCAGAUUGUAAGGAAUCGUACCCCAAACCGACACAGGUGGUCGGGUAGAGAAUACCAAGGCGCUUGAGAGAACUCGGGUGAAGGAACUAGGCAAAAUGGUACCGU